rnacentral:rRNA from 1 species
UACGAAGGGGGCUAGCGUUGCUCGGAAUCACUGGGCGUAAAGGGCGCGUAGGCGGCGUUUUAAGUCGGGGGUGAAAGCCUGUGGCUCAACCACAGAAUGGCCUUCGAUACUGGGACACUUGAGUAUGGUAGAGGUUGGUGGAACUGCGGGUGUAGAGGUGAAAUUCGUAGAUAUUGGGAAGAACACCGGUGGCGAAGGCGGCGACCUGGUCCGACACUGACGCUGAGGCGCGAAAGCGUGGGAGCAAACAGG